GAAUAUGUAGUUAGAAACUUUCGAUACAUUUCUUAAAUAUAACCUCCCACGAUCUUAUGUUUUAAAGAUACAUUAUAAUUAUUGAAUAUUGUUCUUAAAAGUGUAAUAUUCAUGUAUAUAUAAUUGAAAAAUACAUGAUAACUAAAUUGAUAUCAAUUUGAAAAUAUGUUAAAUAAUUUGGAGAGAUACAUAUUAAAUC
rnacentral:lncRNA from 1 species